UACGGAGGGUGCAACCGUUGCUCGGAAUCAUUGGGCGUAAAGCGCACGUAGGCGGCUCGUUAAGUCGGAUGUGAAAGCCCUCGGCUCAACCGAGGAAGUGCAUACGAAACUGGCGAGCUUGAAUAUGGAAGAGGGUCGCGGAAUUCCCGGUGUAGAGGUGAAAUUCGUAGAUAUCGGGAGGAACACCAGUGGCGAAGGCGGCGCCCUGGUCCGUUUCUGACGCUGAGACGCGAAAGCGCGGGGAGCGAACGGG
rnacentral:rRNA from 1 species